GAAAGCUGUAACACAAGAAAAUAUCUCUAUCAAGUUAAACUUAUAAUUACAGUCCAAUUUUUUUUAUUUUUUUUUGUUAUGCCUAGCAUUUUCAAUUUUAAUUUUGUAUUGUAUAUAUUAAUAUUUAUAUUAGAUACUUAAUCUUAAAACUAAGUUAUUUUGCAAAACAGCUAGACCUUGUAUUUUCCUCAUACUUUGAUUUUGUAUCUUUCAACUCCAAUGCUUUUAAACUCUCUUAGUAAAUAUGUUGUAUG
rnacentral:lncRNA from 1 species